rnacentral:piRNA from 1 species
UUACAUUCUUAUCUCCUGCUGUGUGACA